GCCCCUAUCGUCUAGUGGACCAGGACGCGGCCCUCUCAAGGCCAAAACUGGGGUUCGAAUCCCCAUAGGGGCACCU
rnacentral:tRNA from 2 species